rnacentral:lncRNA from 1 species
CCUGGAAAACGUGUCUUGUGUCGCUUUUCUAAUCGUUGGAUGGUAAGAAGGUAGGAGGAACUGAACUUUGAGUGAGGAUCAAUUGCAUGCGAAGGGAACAACUGACCGGCGGAGCGUUCUCAGAGUUAUCUCGACGGUGCCCCGGCCUCGCCAAUGAAGAAUACCUCACUUAAAGUCACGCUUGAUCCCUCGUAGCUCGCUAGAAAGCCAUCUCAAGCCUCGGGAGAUCACGAGCCAGUUUUACAGUCGGCACGCUCUCUGUCCUUCCCACACCUUUCCAGAUCAGACAGGCCCACAUAACCAUUGCGUACGAACAACUACACAACGCUCAGUCAGAGUGGGAAAUACCACGAUAUUGGUAAGAUUCAAAGCUGUACAAGAACAACAUGUCAGUGCAACAGUAUAAUAGACAAGGACUUAUGAUUUUAUUGUACAAUUGAUUUUGGCAGGAUUUCAGAAGCUGUAUACAGUACAACAAAGAUAAUUACAAAAACGUGUUUGACAAUUAUUUGUUUUGUUUUAAAAUCCUUUAGCUGCCUGCUGCAUACCUACUGUACAACUACAUUAAUUUACAUUUCAGUAGCAGGCAAUGCCGAGCGUAUCCAUCACCAUCACAAUUGCUUGGAGAGGAUCCACAAUUUCUUGCGUGUUAUCUUUUCUCAAAACCCAGUCCGGUUUAAUUCUCGAAACUGUCUUUAUUCUUAGAGGAGUUAUCGGAAUAAAGGAAAUUCCACCAAUUACGGUGUUUGUCUUCUGUUUCACAAGCGUUCUCUCUGCAUCCAUUCUGCACUUGCGAACCGUAAGCUUAUAGAGGCUUUGAAUGCAUGUAACGACUCUGGGCAUGCUUCGGAUUUCCAAAGCUCUCUUUGAGUCCUUUGAAAGAAUGGCCAACAAACAACAAGUCUUCGUGAAAAUACUUCCUCCUUUUUCCGAAAUUUUGUCCCCAGCUUUCCCUCUGUAUGUUUGCAGCAGGUCUAGCAAUGUAUCUAUAGAAUUAUCUAC